rnacentral:rRNA from 1 species
UCUGCAGUGGGUACGGGCAGACUAGAGUGCAGUAGGGGAGACUGGAAUUCCUGGUGUAGCGGUGAAAUGCGCAGAUAUCAGGAGGAACACCGAUGGCGAAGGCAGGUCUCUGGGCUGUAACUGACGCUGAGGAGCGAAAGCAUGGGGAGCGAACAGGAUUAGAUACCCUGGUAGUCCAUGCCGUAAACGUUGGGCACUAGGUGUGGGGGACAUUCCACGUUUUCCGCGCCGUAGCUAACGCAUUAAGUGCCCCGCCUGGGGAGUACGGCCGCAAGGCUAAAACUCAAAGGAAUUGACGGGGGCCCGCACAAGCGGCGGAGCAUGCGGAUUAAUUCGAUGCAACGCGAAGAACCUUACCAAGGCUUGACAUGAACCGGUAAUACCUGGAAACAGGUGCCCCGCUUGCGGUCGGUUUACAGGUGGUGCAUGGUUGUCGUCAGCUCGUGUCGUGAGAUGUUGGGUUAAGUCCCGCAACGAGCGCAACCCUCGUUCUAUGUUGCCAGCGGUUCGGCCGGGGACUCAUAGGAGACUGCCGGGGUCAACUCGGAGGAAGGUGGGGACGACGUCAAAUCAUCAUGCCCCUUAUGUCUUGGGCUUCACGCAUGCUACAAUGGCCGGUACAAAGGGUUGCGAUACUGUGAGGUGGAGCUAAUCCCAAAAAGCCGGUCUCAGUUCGGAUUGGGGUCUGCAACUCGACCCCAUGAAGUCGGAGUCGCUAGUAAUCGCAGAUCAGCAACGCUGCGGUGAAUACGUUCCCGGGCCUUGUACACACCGCCCGUCAAGUCACGAAAGUUGGUAACACCCGAAGCCGGGGCCUACCCUGGGGGAGCCUCAAGUGACGCAUC